rnacentral:sRNA from 1 species
GCUAGGCGCUGUGGCGCAUGCCUGUAAUCCCAGCAGCUCAGGAGGCUGAGGCAGGAGGAUCACGAGUUCAAAGCCAGCCUCAGCAACAAAGAGGUGCUAAACAACUCAGUGAGACCCAGUCUCUA